rnacentral:rRNA from 1 species
CGACCUCAGGUUAGGUGAGACUACCCGCUGAAUUUAAGCAUAUUAAUAAGCG